CGAAAGCCUGACGGAGCAACGCCGCGUGAGGGAUGAAGGCCUCUGGGCUGUAAACCUCUUUUCUCAUGGAAGAAGAUCUGACGGUACUUGAGGAAUAAGCCACGGCUAAUUCCGUGCCAGCAGCCGCGGUAAUACGGGAGUGGCAAGCGUUAUCCGGAAUCAUUGGGCGUAAAGCGUCCGCAGGCGGCCUUGAAAGUCUGUCGUUAAAGCGUGGAGCUUAACUCCAUUUCAGCGAUGGAAACUACAAGGCUUGAGUGUGGUAGGGGCAGAGGGAAUUCCCGGUGUAGCGGUGAAAUGCGUAGAUAUCGGGAAGAACACCAGUGGCGAAGGCACUCUGCUGGGCCAUAACCGACGCUCAUGGACGAAAGCCAGGGGAGCG
rnacentral:rRNA from 1 species